GGCAGUGUGGCAUAGCGGUAAAGAGCAGGGCUCACAACCUUAAGGUUGCUGGUUUGAUUCCCGGCAGGGCCA